GACCAGGGGCGUACAAUUUCGUUUCAAUGAUACACUUUCAUGCAACAUUUGAAUGAGUGACUUCAAGUGUUUCAUACAUUUUUCUAAUGACUCGGUCGUUAAAAAAAAACUUUUCCACUCAUCGUAGCACUCGGUAGUCUCCCACCCGGUCGCAUUGCUUGUGCUUCACCCGUCAGAGCAUUAGUGUCUCACUGGUGCGCGCUAGUCUCUCAAUGGUUUCGGGCGCCGGUUAAUUGGAUUUAAGUGAUCGAAUUUGUUAUCCUCUUUCAUAAAACAUAAUUAUCAUUCUAUUGGCGUGCACCACUAUUUAAAAAUGUGGUUUAAAUAGUGUUUUUAGCAUGUUGAAGUAUUUCAAUGACUCAUAAAUGAAACGAAAAUCCAAGUGUAUCAUACCAUGUUUCAUACACACUUGUUUCUGUAGCAGCAACGAACGAGUGUGUUACUGGGUGAGAGAUGAAGCAUCACAGCAGUCCGUUCGCAUGGGAAACGAUUUGCUACAGUCGUCGUACGUCAUGUUUUCCUUUCGAAAUUGCACGACCCUGAACAUAAUAUCCCAAGUAGGUGGAAAAAUCUGAUGAACAGCAUAUUUAGUUAUUAUUCAUUGAAUUACUGAAGAGCAAAAACUGAUAUUGGUUUAAUUGAUAUAAGGUAAAAGGUCAGAAAUAAAGA